rnacentral:rRNA from 1 species
UACGAAGGGGGCUAGCGUUGUUCGGAUUUACUGGGCGUAAAGCGCACGUAGGCGGAUCGUUAAGUCGGGGGUGAAAUCCUGGAGCUCAACUCCAGAACUGCCUUCGAUACUGGCGAUCUUGAGUCCGGAAGAGGUGAGUGGAACUCCGAGUGUAGAGGUGAAAUUCGUAGAUAUUCGGAAGAACACCAGUGGCGAAGGCGACUCGCUGGACAAGUAUUGACGCUGAGGUGCGAAAGCGUGGGGAGCAAACAGG